rnacentral:rRNA from 1 species
UUUGCCUACGGGGCGCAGCAGUGGGGGAUAUUGGACAAUGGGGGGAACCCUGAUCCAGCGACGCCGCGUGAGUGAAGAAGUAUCUCGGUAUGUAAAGCUCUAUCAGCAGGGAAGAAAGAAAUGACGGUACCUGAGUAAGAAGCCCCGGCUAACUACGUGCCAGCAGCCGCGGUAAUCCGUAGGGGGCAAGCGUUAUCCGGACUUACUGGGUGUAACGGGAGCGUAGACGGUGAAGUAAGUCUGGAGUGAAAGGCGGGGGCCCAACCCCCGGACUGCUCUGGCAACUAUUUGACUGUCGUGCAGGG